rnacentral:sRNA from 1 species
AAAUGGAUGCGUGAGGGAUAGCAGUGGAAAUCCUUUUGUGUCUCGUUUUUUAACGAGACACAAAAGAUUGUAACGGAUAGCCCGACCCGGA